rnacentral:siRNA from 1 species
UCCAAUCUGGUGUGAUGCA